rnacentral:rRNA from 1 species
UGUUCUUUAAAUGUGGACUAGUAUGAACGGCAUCACGAGGGUUAUACUGUCUCCUUUCUCUAAUCAGUGAAACUAAUCCCCCCGUGAAGAAGCGGGGAUAAAACUAUAAGACGAGAAGACCCUAUGGAGCUUUAAAGUUCUUUUCAAACGCCAAACCUCUUCCAAGUCACAGACUCCUGCACGAAACCACGCGCCAUGAAGACAACUUUUAGGUUGGGGUGACCAUGGAGUAUAAGACAACCUCCACGCUGAACAGGCCUCUAAACCUUGAGCCAAGGACCACAGCCCGCCGCACUAAAAAAUUAACACACAUUGAUCCAAUGAAUUUUGAUCAACGAACCAAGUUACCCUAGGGAUAACAGCGCAAUCUACUUCAAGAGUCCCUAUCGACAAGUGGGUUUACGACCUCGAUGUUGGAUCAGGGUGUCCCAGUGGUGCAG